rnacentral:tRNA from 1 species
GGCUCGUUGGUCUAGGGGUAUGAUUCUUGCUUCGGGUGCGAGAGGUCCCGGGUUCAAAUCCUGUACGAGCCC